GUUUCGGCGACCUAUUUGGGAUAGUGCACUAUAUUGUGUUAUUCAAGUGAAUCGAAUCUUUCAAAAUGGUUAUGCGAUGCUCAUAUUGUGGGAAAAAAGCCGACAGUGGGCGAACAUUCCAUCAGUUUCCAUCAAAUCAACCAGAAUUACUCAAAUCUUGGCUGGAGAAUGUCAAUCUAGGUGACCACUUCGAACCAUCGAAAAGCAUGAGAUUGUGCUCCGAUCACUUCACAGCCCAAUGUUUUCAGAAAACAGGGGUCAACGUAAAACUGAUCCAUGAAAGUAUUCCCACUGUGCAUAUUGUUCCUCUAUAAAAAUUUCUAAAGAUAAUCUUAUAUUACACAAGUGAUUCUGACUCUGAACUCAUCAACAUCUUAUACAUGAAAUAGUGGAAUUAUAGUAUGACCUGUAUGUCCAGUAAAGUCCAAAUGUUUUUUUUAGUAUGCAUGCAUCAUGAUUAAGUUCUUAACUUUUAAAAUCCCCACUUAGAAACCCAGUAUUACUGAAAAAUCGGAUUCUGGCUAUUGGCAAAGAGAAUUACACACCUGAAGAGACAAGUCGCCUUUGCUUCAAUCAUUUUGAGAGAACCUGCUUUCGUUCCUCGGGUUGUAAGGGAUCACUCCUUUCGAGAAAUAAGGCAGUCCCCACUAUAUUUCUACCCAU
rnacentral:misc_RNA from 1 species